rnacentral:tRNA from 24 species
GCCGGCAUAGCUCAGUUGGUAGAGCAACCGCCUUGUAAGCGGUAGGUCGUCUGUUCGAGUCAGACUGUCGGCACCA